rnacentral:rRNA from 1 species
AUUCCAGCUCCAAUAGCGUAUACUAAUGUUGUUGCAGUUAAAAAGCUCGUAGUUGAACCUCUGGUAGGAGUAACCCGGCCUUUGGGCUCAUGCCCUCUGUUUGCUGUGUGUUAUCUCUGGCCAUCUUCGCUGUUCUUUGGACAGCGUCUUUCACUGUAAAAAAAUUAGGGUGUUUCAAGCAAAAGUUUCUUUGGAAUAUAUUAGUAUGGGAUGAUAAGAUAAGCUCUCGAUGCUAUUUUGUUGGUUUGCACAUCAAGAGAAUGAUUAACAGGGACAGUUGGGGGUAUUCGUAUUUACAUGUCAGAGGUGAAAUUCUUGGAUUUUGGAAAGACGAACUACUGCGAAAGCAUUUACCAAGGAUGUUUUCAUCG